rnacentral:rRNA from 4 species
UUAAAUUGAAGAGUUUGAUCAUGGCUCAGAUUGAACGCUGGCGGCAGGCCUAACACAUGCAAGUCGAACGGUAACAGGAAGCAGCUUGCUGCUUUGCUGACGAGUGGCGGACGGGUGAGUAAUGUCUGGGAAACUGCCUGAUGGAGGGGGAUAACUACUGGAAACGGUGGCUAAUACCGCAUAACGUCGCAAGACCAAAGAGGGGGACCUUCGGGCCUCUUGCCAUCAGAUGUGCCCAGAUGGGAUUAGCUUGUUGGUGAGGUAACGGCUCACCAAGGCGACGAUCCCUAGCUGGUCUGAGAGGAUGACCAGCCACACUGGAACUGAGACACGGUCCAGACUCCUACGGGAGGCAGCAGUGGGGAAUAUUGCACAAUGGGCGCAAGCCUGAUGCAGCCAUGCCGCGUGUAUGAAGAAGGCCUUCGGGUUGUAAAGUACUUUCAGCGGGGAGGAAGGUGUUGUGGUUAAUAACCACAGCAAUUGACGUUACCCGCAGAAGAAGCACCGGCUAACUCCGUGCCAGCAGCCGCGGUAAUACGGAGGGUGCAAGCGUUAAUCGGAAUUACUGGGCGUAAAGCGCACGCAGGCGGUCUGUCAAGUCGGAUGUGAAAUCCCCGGGCUCAACCUGGGAACUGCAUUCGAAACUGGCAGGCUUGAGUCUUGUAGAGGGGGGUAGAAUUCCAGGUGUAGCGGUGAAAUGCGUAGAGAUCUGGAGGAAUACCGGUGGCGAAGGCGGCCCCCUGGACAAAGACUGACGCUCAGGUGCGAAAGCGUGGGGAGCAAACAGGAUUAGAUACCCUGGUAGUCCACGCCGUAAACGAUGUCUACUUGGAGGUUGUGCCCUUGAGGCGUGGCUUCCGGAGCUAACGCGUUAAGUAGACCGCCUGGGGAGUACGGCCGCAAGGUUAAAACUCAAAUGAAUUGACGGGGGCCCGCACAAGCGGUGGAGCAUGUGGUUUAAUUCGAUGCAACGCGAAGAACCUUACCUGGUCUUGACAUCCACGGAAGUUUUCAGAGAUGAGAAUGUGCCUUCGGGAACCGUGAGACAGGUGCUGCAUGGCUGUCGUCAGCUCGUGUUGUGAAAUGUUGGGUUAAGUCCCGCAACGAGCGCAACCCUUAUCCUUUGUUGCCAGCGGUUAGGCCGGGAACUCAAAGGAGACUGCCAGUGAUAAACUGGAGGAAGGUGGGGAUGACGUCAAGUCAUCAUGGCCCUUACGACCAGGGCUACACACGUGCUACAAUGGCGCAUACAAAGAGAAGCGACCUCGCGAGAGCAAGCGGACCUCAUAAAGUGCGUCGUAGUCCGGAUUGGAGUCUGCAACUCGACUCCAUGAAGUCGGAAUCGCUAGUAAUCGUGGAUCAGAAUGCCACGGUGAAUACGUUCCCGGGCCUUGUACACACCGCCCGUCACACCAUGGGAGUGGGUUGCAAAAGAAGUAGGUAGCUUAACCUUCGGGAGGGCGCUUACCACUUUGUGAUUCAUGACUGGGGUGAAGUCGUAACAAGGUAACCGUAGGGGAACCUGCGGUUGGAUCACCUCCUUACCUUAAAGAA